GACAUGGCUCAGGACGAACGCUGGCGGCGUGCUUAACACAUGCAAGUCGAACGAAGAGCGAUGGAAGCUUGCUUCUAUCAAUCUUAGUGGCGAACGGGUGAGUAACGCGUAAUCAACCUGCCCUUCAGAGGGGGACAACAGUUGGAAACGACUGCUAAUACCGCAUACGAUCUAAACUCGGCAUCGAGGAUAGAUGAAAGGUGGCCUCUACAUGUAAGCUAUCACUGAAGGAGGGG
rnacentral:rRNA from 1 species